ACGCACGCUGGCGGCGUGCUUAACACAUGCCAGUCGAACGGAAAGGCCCUGCUUUUGUGGGGUGCUCGCGUGGCGAACGGGUGAGUAACACGUGAGUCACCUGCCCUUGACUUUGGGAUAACUUCAGGAAACUGGGGCUAAUACCGGAUAGGAGCUCCUGCUGCAUGGUGGGGGUUGGAAAGUUUCGGCGGUUGGGGAUGGACUCGCGGCUUAUCAGCUUGUUGGUGGGGUAGUGGCUUACCAAGGCUUUGACGGGUAGCCGGCCUGAGAGGGUGACCGGCCACAUUGGGACUGAGAUACGGCCCAGAGUCCUACGGGAGGCAGCAGUGGGGAAUAUUGCACAAUGGGCGGAAGCCUGAUGCAGCAACGCCGCGUGCGGGAUGACGGCCUUCGGGUUGUAAACCGCUUUCGCCUGUGACGAAGCGUGAGUGACGGUAAUGGGUAAAGAAGCACCGGCUAACUACGUG
rnacentral:rRNA from 1 species